GAAAUGCGAUAAGUAAUGUGAAUUGCAGAAUUCAGUGAAUCAUCGAAUCUUUGAACGCACCUUGCGCUCCUUGGUAUUCCUUGGAGCAUGCCUGUUUGAGUAUCAUGAAAUCUUCAAAGUAAAUCUUUUGUUAACUCAAUUGGUUUCUACUUUGGUAUUGGAGGUCUUUGCAGCUUCACACCUGCUCCUCUUUGUUCAUUAGCUGGAUCUCAGUGUUAUGCUUGGUUCCACUCGGCGUGAUAAGUUAUCUAUCGCUGAGGACACUGUAAAAGGUGGCCAAGGUAAAUGCAGAUGAACCGCUUCUAAUCGUCCAUUGACUUUGACAAUACUUUUAUGAUCUGAUCUCAAAUCAGGUAGGACUACCCGCUGAACUUAAGC
rnacentral:misc_RNA from 1 species